UACGUAGGGUGCGAGCGUUGUCCGGAAUUAUUGGGCGUAAAGAGCUCGUAGGCGGUGUGUCACGUCGAUCGUGAAAACCUGCAGCUUAACUGUGGGCGUGCGGUCGAUACGGGCAUCACUGGAGUUCGGCAGGGGAGACUGGAAUUCCUGGUGUAGCGGUGAAAUGCGCAGAUAUCAGGAGGAACACCGGUGGCGAAGGCGGGUCUCUGGACGAAGACUGACGCUCAGGUGCGAAAGCGUGGGGAGCAAACAGG
rnacentral:rRNA from 1 species